UGCGGGGUGGAGCAGUGGUAGCUCGCCAGGCUCAUAACCUGGAGGUCGCAGGUUCGAAUCCUGCCCCCGCUA
rnacentral:tRNA from 1 species